AAUGAACGCUAGCGGCAGGCUUAAUACAUGCAAGUCGUGGGGCAGCAGGGGUAGCAAUACACUCGCUGGCGACCGGCAAACGGGUGCGGAACACGUACGCAAUCUACCCAAAACUGACGAAUAGCCCUCCGAAAGGAGGAUUAAUACAUCGUAACAUAAUGAAGUGGCAUCACUUUAUUAUUAUAGCUCCGGCGGUUUUGGAUGAGCGUGCGCCUGAUUAGGUAGUGGCGGGGGUAACGGCCCACCAAGCCUACGAUCAGUAACUGGUGUGAGAGCACGACCAGUCACACGGGCACUGAGACACGGGCCCGACUCCUGCGGAGGCAGCAGUAAGGAAUAUUGGUCAAUGGACGCAAGUCUGAACCAGCCAUGCCGCGUGAAGGAUGAAGGUCCUCUGGAUUGUAAACUUCUUUUAUCUGGGACGAAACCCUCGUUUUCUAACGGGNUUGACGGUACAGAGGAAUAAGCACCGGCUAACUCCGUGCCA
rnacentral:rRNA from 1 species